rnacentral:rRNA from 1 species
UUUGCUUUACCACAUUGAAAACACAGGUUCUCGUUCGAUCAUCGAAGUUAAGCAAUGUCGGGCCUGGUCAGUACUUGGGAGGGUGACCACCUGGGAACACCGGCUGUAGGCUAUU